rnacentral:lncRNA from 1 species
UCGCUUUCUUGCAUGAAUUUCAUUGUGUUUCCAAUUCUUGUGACUUCAUUCACAACCAGCUCUAUGUAGCUUAUAGAACAACUAGCUUGCUGAUAGCUCUUGCUGACAAUGAUCAGUGUUGACCUUUUCUAUUUCCUUGACUCUGCUGGAGAUGGGUACAAUCAGACCGGCGCCUGUUUUAAUUUCACUAGAAUCCAAGACUUGGUCCAAUGCUCAAAAGGUGCUGCUGUAAAAUGGUAUGUAACAUUUUUAUUUUACAAGCUCUUUAGUUUAUUAAGUUGUUGAGUUUCCAGGAUCAAUCGUGCAAUUAAGAUUAGAGGAUAUUACAUAGAAUACAAAGUUUUAAGUGAAAGAAUAUGUACUCGUAGUAAGUUUUACAGAAAUUGUCAAAAUUAUGAAGGUUUUAAAUGCGUUGUUUGAGAAUGGAUAUUGAAACCAAAACUUGUGUAGAAAAAAUGGUUGAAUGUGUAUUACGAUAUGCGUUUUGAUGAACACUUUUUGAAAAUAGCUUUUUAAUUGCAUCAAAGGAUACUUGUUGAUAUCUUGAAUCGAAUGAAAUUUUGGCACGGAAUGCAGGUAUUCUAGGCACCCUCACUAGAAACAUCGUUGCCUAUUUUUUUAAUUUUAAUUAAAUACAUUCGUAUGUGAUACAUCAAGACAGAGCUUUCUUUAUAAGAUAAUUGUAACUGAGAAUUUCUUUGAUUUUCUUUUUUAUCUUUUCUUUUUAGUCAUUUUUUCCUGAUUACCCGGAAACUUUCCAGCCCUGAACCGGAAAUCAAUACAAGGUGUUUUUUUUUUUUUUAAAUAAAUUAUUGAAAUAAUAAUAAUUUAAAUAUUGGAUUCUUUUUUUAUUUGUUGACCAAGAUAGCAUACAUUAUUACAGAAUCUCUUCCAAAACUCACCAACAUUUGAGGGACUAAAGACUUUUAAUUUUAGAAAUAAUUGUUUAAAAAAUAUGGAAAAUAUCCUGAUCUUGAUGAUAAACACCCAUAGUUGUUGCUCUGAAUACCAUUAAGACCCAAUAAAGUUAAAUAGAAAUAAAAUAAAUCUACAAUUGACAAAUUUUUGGGAUUCUUGUUUUGAUCAAUAAAAAGCAUUGAUUUAGUAUUUUCCUACAUGUAUAUUCUUAUAUUUUCCUAUAUAUAUUUAUAAAAAAAUCUAUCUAUAUAUAUAUAUAAUAUCACAUGAUUAUUAAAAAUUAUAGAAGUUUUUAUAAAAAUUCCAUACAACUUUAUUAAACAUGCUUUUAUAAUUCAUUGAUGAAUGAGCCUCCUUGAAACUAUUGUGUGGUUAUAAAAUAUAAUUAGAUGUCUUUAUUAGACUUUUAGAACAGCUCUUAUAGAUAAAAAAAAUAAAUUUAAAGUCAUUAGUACGAGGUAUAUGUAUUUAAGGAGAGAAGAUUUAAAUGUCAUAACUUUUAAAUACUUUGCUUGGCUGGAAUCAAGAAACCUCACUUAGUCAGCUUUACACCUAAAACAAAUCAACACAAAAGUCUCCAAAAGAACUAGUUAAGGAAGAAUGAUCUUUUCUUCUUAGGGCAUAUACAAAUGGGACACCUCAAAUUGAGAUUUUAACAAAAAACAAAUUAACAAAUUUGUUGAAAACUACUACAAAUAAUUGGCAAAAUUCAAAUCUUUCUUGCAUGAGUUUCAUUUUGAUUUAUGCAUCAAAUUUAUUUAUACAUCGUUUUUUUAUUUAAAAAUACUGGAAUUAAUACCUUGAAUAAAGUAAUUCACUUUUUUUUUCUUUUCUUCUUUUUUUUUUCAAAAUGUUAACAUUUUGAGUAGAACAAUGGGUGACAAGUCUGACAGUGAAUUUCCAUACAAAAAUAGUACAUCUACAUGUAUAUUUAUAUUUAUAUUUUCUUAUAUUAAAAAAAAAAAAAAAAAAAAAAAA